rnacentral:rRNA from 1 species
GAGUCGUAACAAGGUUUCCGUAGGUGAACCUGCGGAAGGAUCAUUAACGAGUUUUGAAGUGGGUUUGAUGCUGGCUUUAUAAAGGCAUGUGCUCACCCUGCUCCAUCCACUCUACACCUGUGCACCUUUUGAGGCAUAGCCCCUCCAAUUUUGGAGCCGUUCCCCACCGUGAUUAAUUUCGCAGGUGGGUUGAGCCGGGGCUUUGCUCUCUACCUUUUACACACCCCAUUACAAAGUUUUGUAGAAUGUUGACCCCAAUAAAUUAAUACAACUUUCAACAACGGAUCUCUUGGCUCUCGCAUCGAUGAAGAACGCAGCGAAAUGCGAUAAGUAAUGUGAAUUGCAGAAUUCAGUGAAUCAUCGAAUCUUUGAAUGCACCUUGCGCUCCUUGGUAUUCUGAGGAGCAUGCCUGUUUGAGUGUCAUUAAUAUAUCAACCUCUUCAGCUUUUGCUUGUUGAGUGUUGGAUGUGGGGGUCUCUUUUGCUGGUCUUCUUGUGAGGUCAGCUCCCCUAAAAUGUAUUAGCGGAACAAUUUGUUGACCGUUCAUUGGUGUGAUAAUUAUCUACGCUAUUGCCGUGAAGCAGAGUUCAGCUUCUAAUAGUCCAUUGACUUGGACAAUUUUCAUUAAUGUGACCUCAAAUCANGUAGGACUACCCGCUGAACUUAA